ACACAAUGUCCCAAUGAAUGUAUUUCUGAAUAUCUCUUUGAGUUCAUUUGCAAUAAUUUUUUAAGGCCUCUGAUGUAAAAUUGCUAGUUCAAGGAGCACAUGUAUAUGUAGUUCCUCUAAAGAUGUCCUUGAAACCUGUUUAUAUGUUAGACUUUGUAUGGCAAAAGGGUCUUCACAAAUGUAAUUAAGUAUCUUUAGAAGGCAAGGCUUACUUAAUUGGCUUACCCAGGAGGGCCCAAUCUAAUUACAGGAAUCCUUGAAAUCAGAAGAGGAGGCAGAACUGAGAGUCAUAAGCUACCACCUGAAAAAAAUUCUACCAGCUGUUGCUGGUUUUGAAGAUGGUGAAGAGGGGCAUGUGCCGAGUAGUAUAAGUCCGGAGCCACUGGAUAAAGGCAACAAAAACGGGUUCUCUCCUAGAGCCUCCAGCUAGGAAUGCAGUCCAGAAGAGACAUCUUGACUUUAGCCCAGUGAAACGCAGGACAAACUUCUGACCUCCAGAACUGACCUAAGGGGAAGCCAGGUAGCAAAGUAAUCUGGAGAAUUAGCAGAGUAUAGAAGAAUGGAUUUGAGUCCAAGAGACAGCAUCAAGUAAGCAAGUGCUUCUCCACUGGAAAUUCAGCAUGACAAGAGCUUCAGCAAGACAUAAGUGAGCUACACCAGAAUCCCUGCCUGGACUAAGACUGGAAAUAAAGAGAAAGGGUGAGGAGUGCAUCAUGAUGCUGGGACCACUAGGGCCCUAGAAUCUUGGAGCCCAUCGCAGGCAUGAACUUCAUUCCAGGGCAGCCCCAGAGCACCACUCGGGACCAGCCCUGUUCAUAGAAGAAUCAGGAGACCAGCCCACUCCCACAGGAAGACCAGAGUUGACGGGGAUGGAUUUGGAAAUCUACCACAAAAAGGAUCUAAAUCUCAGGGAAGAACAAGAACCAGGCCCAGUCCUUCAGUGCCUCUCUGAAGUAUUCUCAAUGAAGAGUAACUAAUCCAUUCAGUAAAUGAAAUAGAGCAUCUACAAAUGUGAAGGGCUUCCCUGGUGGCUCAGACAGUAAAGAAUCCGCCUGCAAUGCAGGAGACCUGGGUUCAAUCCCUGCAUUGGAAAGAUUUCCUGGAGGAGGGCAUGACAACCUACUCUAGUAUUCUUGCCUGGAGAAUCUCCGUGGACAAAGGAGCCUGGCCAGCUACAGUCAACGAGGUCACAAAGAGUUGAAUACGACUGAGCGACUCAGCACAGCACACAUGUGAAAUAGUGCCUCUCCCAUAUAUACAGAGUCAUCAAGAAAUAGUCUCUGCAAUAAAUACAUUAAAAAAAAAAAACUAUGCACACAUUCUUCUUAAACUCAGUGCUUCCUAUUCCUUUAUUUCAUUUAUCAUCAUUUCUUCCCAUUUUGGUCCCUCUUUCUCUUCCUUUAAAUUCCCACUCCACCAAUAAACAACAAAGCCCACAGGCCAGUACAUCACCAAGGUAUAACUUUCAAAAUGUGUCUCUUUCCUUUGUUAGACAGGUAGACAUAUUGGAAGGUAAUAGGUAAAGUGAAUAAAAAUAGAGAUUCUUAGCUGAUAGUCAAAAUGCUCCUCAUUCUCUGACCUUUCCUUUUUCCUGGAACAAAGUGCCAGCCUUAGUCUGAUUGAUGGUUAUAAGGGAAAGGCCAGAGGAAUUUCAAGGUAACCAUAUAAAACUCUAACUGUUCAGGGAAAGAGGGCAGAGACAUGGGUAUUAUAAUUUCAUUUGGAGUUUGGAUAUAUUAAUGGGGACCCAUUCAUUUAGCUGAACUCACCAUUUCAUCAAGUAUAAAUAACCCUGGAAAGGGUCACAAAAACUCUCCAAAAGGAUUUACCACUGCCCUGCCACCCCAAAGCCAAAUACUUUUUAAAACAUACACACACACAACUGUGAUUAUAGAGUUAUGACUUACACAGCGAUGCUUCAUCCAGUCAUUUUUACCUUCCUGAGCCAGUCGCUGGAGGGCCAAAAAUGUUCCAACUCCAAGGCGAUGUGUAAUAAUGCUCUAGGCUUUGCAGGACUGCCCAGGAUCACCCUUGUCCAGAAGCCAGACCAAACUUCACCUGGCCAGAAUCUCACAAGAAUUAAUGGUUUUUAAGAGAAGGUCACUGGCAGGACCGUAGGAAAUGAGAUGCCAAGACGUGGAACUAAUUGUCCAACACAAGAGAUUUCACACAGGGAACGCGGCACUUCCUUGUCUGGCUAGUAGGAUAUGUGGAGGGAGCAGAGCCCAGGAAUGCUCAAAUGUUUUUGAAAGUCCUUUAUGUGGUUUGAGUUAGGUGAAAGAGUUUUUUGUCUCCGAUCACUUAGGAUUAAAUAAAUUUCUACAUAAAUUUCAUUUCUUUUUUUUUUCCUUCAAAGAGGUUUUGUAUGUUUACUGGAACUUUGUACCAAGAGAAAAUAAAAGAAGCACAUAU